rnacentral:rRNA from 1 species
AGUGAACGCUGGCGGUAGGCCUAACACAUGCAAGUCGAACGGCAGCACAGUAAGAGCUUGCUCUUACGGGUGGCGAGUGGCGGACGGGUGAGGAAUACAUCGGAAUCUACUUUUUCGUGGGGGAUAACGUAGGGAAACUUACGCUAAUACCGCAUACGACCUACGGGUGAAAGCAGGGGAUCUUCGGACCUUGCGCGAUUGAAUGAGCCGAUGUCGGAUUAGCUAGUUGGCGGGGUAAAGGCCCACCAAGGCGACGAUCCGUAGCUGGUCUGAGAGGAUGAUCAGCCACACUGGAACUGAGACACGGUCCAGACUCCUACAGGAGGCAGCAGUGGGGAAUAUUGGACAAUGGGCGCAAGCCUGAUCUAGCCAUACCGCGUGGGUGAAGAAGGCCUUCGGGUUGUAAAGCCCUUUUGUUGGGAAAGAAAAGCAGCAGGUUAAUACCCCGCUGUUCUGACGGUACCCAAAGAAUAAGCACCGGCUAACUUCGUG